rnacentral:rRNA from 1 species
UACAGAGGUGGCAAGCGUUGUUCGGAAUUACUGGGCGUAAAGGGCGCGUAGGCGGCGCGGUAAGUCACUUGUGAAAUCUCUGAGCUUAACUCAGAACGGCCAAGUGAUACUGCAGUGCUAGAGUGUGGAAGGGGCAAUCGGAAUUCUUGGUGUAGCGGUGAAAUGCGUAGAUAUCAAGAGGAACACCUGAGGUGAAGACGGGUUGCUGGGCCAUUCCUGACGCUGAGACGCGAAAGCUAGGGGAGCGAACAGG